UACGUAGGUGACAAGCGUUGUCCGGAUUUACUGGGCGUAAAGAGCGCGCAGGCGGUCGUUCAAGUCGAGUGUGAAAGCCCCCGGCUCAACUGGGGAGGGUCACUCGAUACUGAUCGACUCGAAGGCAGGAGAGGGAAGUGGAAUUCCCGGUGUAGUGGUGAAAUGCGUAGAGAUCCGGAGGAACACCAGCGGCGAAGGCGGCAUCCUGGACUGGUCCUGACACUCAGGAGCGAAAGCGUGGGGAGCGAUCCGG
rnacentral:rRNA from 1 species